rnacentral:rRNA from 1 species
UAAUGUAUGGGGAUCUGCCCGAUAGAGGGGGAUAACUACUGGAAACGGUGGCUAAUACCGCAUAAUGUCUACGGACCAAAGCAGGGGCUCUUCGGACCUUGCACUAUUCGGAUGAACCCAUAUGGGAUUAGCUAGUAGGUGGGGUAAAGGCUCACCUAGGCGACGAUCUCUAGCUGGUCUGAGAGGAUGAUCAGCCACACUGGGACUGAGACACGGCCCAG